AACGAGGGGUGCUAGCGUUGCUCGGAAUCACUGGGCGUAAAGCGAGUGUAGGUGGUUUUACAAGUCGAAUGUGAAAACCUAUGGCUUAACCAUAGAAGUGCAUUCGAAACUGUAUUACUGGAGCACGGUAGAGGGCGGGGGAAUUCCCGGUGGAGCGGUGAAAUGCGUUGAUAUCGGGAGGAAUACCGGUGGCGUAGGCGCCCGCCUGGGCCGUUGCUGACACUCAGACUCGAAAGCGUGGGGAG
rnacentral:rRNA from 1 species